rnacentral:rRNA from 1 species
GCAUAUCAAUAAGCGGAGGAAAAGAAACCAACAGGGAUUGCCCCCAGUAACGGCGAGUGAAGCGGCAACAGCUCAAAUUUGAAAUCUGGCCCCUAGGGUCCGAGUUGUAAUUUGCAGAGGAUGCUUUUGACAAGGUGCCUUCCGAGUUCCCUGGAACGGGACGCCAUAGAGGGUGAGAGCCCCGUCUGGUCGGAUACCGCGUCUAUGUAAAGCUCCUUCGACGAGUCGAGUAGUUUGGGAAUGCUGCUCUAAAUGGGAGGUAUAUGUCUUCUAAAGCUAAAUAUUGGCCAGAGACCGAUAGCGCACAAGUAGAGUGAUCGAAAGAUGAAAAGCACUUUGAAAAGAGGGUUAAAAAGUACGUGAAAUUGUUGAAAGGGAAGCGCCUAUGACCAGACUUGGGCCCGGUGAAUCAUCCAGCGUUCUCGCUGGUGCACUUUGCCGGGCACAGGCCAGCAUCAGUUUGGCUUGGGGGAAAAAGGCUUUGGGAACGUAGCUCCUCGGAGUGUUAUAGACCAUUGCAUAAUACCCUGGGCCGGACUGAGGUUCGCGCAUCUGCAAGGAUGCUGGCGUAAUGGUCAUCAGCGACCCGUCUUGAAACACGGACCAAGGAGUCGUCUUCGUAUGCGAGUGUUCGGGUGUAAAACCCCUACGCGUAAUGAAAGUGAACGCAGGUGAGAGCUUCGGCGCAUCAUCGACCGAUCCUGAUGUUCUCGGAUGGAUUUGAGUAAGAGCAUACGGGGCCGGACCCGAAAGAAGGUGAACUAUGCCUGUAUAGGGUGAAGCCAGAGGAAACUCUGGUGGAGGCUCGCAGCGGUUCUGACGUGCGAAUCGAUCGUCAAAUAUGGGCAUGGGGGGCGAAAGACUAAUCGAACCUUCUAGUAGCUGGUUUCCGCCGAA